rnacentral:rRNA from 1 species
GUGGGCAAUCUGCCCUUCACUCUGGGACAAGCCCUGGAAACGGGGUCUAAUACCGGAUAACACUCUGUCCCGCAUGGGACGGGGUUGAAAGCUCCGGCGGUGAAGGAUGAGCCCGCGGCCUAUCAGCUUGUUGGUGGGGUGAUGGCCUACCAAGGCGACGACGGGUAGCCGGCCUGAGAGGGCGACCGGCCACACUGGGACUGAGACACGGCCCAGACUCCUACGGGAGGCAGCAGUGGGGAAUAUUGCACAAUGGGCGAAAGCCUGAUGCAGCGACGCCGCGUGAGGGAUGACGGCCUUCGGGUUGUAAACCUCUUUCAGCAGGGAAGAAGCGAAAGUGACGGUACCUGCAGAAGAAGCGCCGGCUAACUACGUGCCAGCAGCCGCGGUAAUACGUAGGGCGCAAGCGUUGUCCGGAAUUAUUGGGCGUAAAGAGCUCGUAGGCGGCUUGUUGCGUCGGUUGUGAAAGCCCGGGGCUUAACCCCGGGUCUGCAGUCGAUACGGGCAGGCUAGAGUGUGGUAGGGGAGAUCGGAAUUCCUGGUGUAGCGGUGAAAUGCGCAGAUAUCAGGAGGAACACCGGUGGCGAAGGCGGAUCUCUGGGCCAUUACUGACGCUGAGGAGCGAAAGCGUGGGGAGCGAACAGGAUUAGAUACCCUGGUAGUCCACGCCGUAAACG